AGUGAACGCUGGCGGUAGGCCUAACACAUGCAAGUCGAACGGCAGCACAGUAAGAGCUUGCUCUUACGGGUGGCGAGUGGCGGACGGGUGAGGAAUACAUCGGAAUCUACUUUUUCGUGGGGGAUAACGUAGGGAAACUUACGCUAAUACCGCAUACGACCUACGGGUGAAAGCAGGGGAUCUUCGGACCUUGCGCGAUUGAAUGAGCCGAUGUCGGAUUAGCUAGUUGGCGGGGUAAAGGCCCACCAAGGCGACGAUCCGUAGCUGGUCUGAGAGGAUGAUCAGCCACACUGGAACUGAGACACGGUCCAGACUCCUACGGGAGGCAGCAGUGGGGAAUAUUGGACAAUGGGCGCAAGCCUGAUCCAGCCAUACCGCGUGGGUGAAGAAGGCCUUCGGGUUGUAAAGCCCUUUUGUUGGGAAAGAAAAGCAGCGGGUUAAUACCCCGCUGUUCUGACGGUACCCAAAGAAUAAGCACUGGCUAACUUCGUG
rnacentral:rRNA from 1 species